UGGGGAAUAUUGGACAAUGGGGGGAAUCCUGAUCCAGCCAUGCCGCGUGUGUGAAGAAGGCCUUAUGGUUGUAAAGCACUUUAAGCAGUGAAGAAUACAUCAUGGCUAAUAUCCGUGAUGAAUGACAUUAGCUGCAGAAUAAGCACCGGCUAACUCUGUGCCAGCAGCCGCGGUAAUACAGAGGGUGCGAGCGUUAAUCGGAAUUACUGGGCGUAAAGCGAGCGUAGGUGGUUUAUUAAGUCAGAUGUGAAAUCCCUGGGCUUAACCUAGGAACUGCAUCUGAUACUGACAAACUAGAGUAGGUGAGAGGAAAGUAGAAUUCCAGGUGUAGCGGUGAAAUGCGUAGAGAUCUGGAGGAAUACCGAUGGCGAAGGCAGCUUUCUGGCAUCAUACUGACACUGAGGUUCGAAAGCGUGGGUAGCAAACAGGAUUAGAUACCCUGGUAGUCCACGCCGUAAACGAUGUCUACCAGUCGUUGGGUCUUUUAAAGACUUAGUGACGCAGUUAACGCGAUAAGUAGACCGCCUGGGGAGUACGGCCGCAAGGUUA
rnacentral:rRNA from 1 species